rnacentral:tRNA from 1 species
CAAAAAAUAGUUUAAAUAAAACAUUAAUUUUGGAGAUUAAAAUUAUAAAAUUUUAUUUUUUUGA